rnacentral:sRNA from 1 species
UUUUCUUGUUCCACUAGGGGUUUCAAGCCCCAGGUAGAAGUGUUCCCUGCCUCAUUACUGGGAAGCAGCAUCCACACAGGGGCUAACCCAGCCUGGGACCCUGUGUGCCAGCACUUACUCUUUUGUGCAGCACAUGUGACAAUGAAGGACGGAUGUAUCACCUUGAUGAUUAUGGUGUCCUGAUUCCAGCAUUCAUGAGUCAGGGGAAGGUCCCUGCUAAGGACAGACCUUAGGAGGGCAGUUGGUCCUGGACACACACCUGCUUUCCUCAUGUUUCCUGAUCCUGUCCUGGGUCUGUAGUCAUAGUUCUGGAAAUUUCUCUUGGGCCCAAGACUAGGAGGUUCCUCUAAGAUCUCAUAGCCCUGCUUCCUCCCAGUCCCCUCACAGGACAUUUUCUUCCCACAGGUGGGAAAGGAGGGAGCUACUCUCAGGCUGCGUGCAGCGACAGUGCCCAGGGCUCUGAUGUGUCUCUCACGGCUUGAAAAACUGGAGACAGCUGCCUGUGUGGGACUGAGAUGCAGGAUUUCUUCACGCCUCCCUUUUGUGACUUCAGGAGACUCUGGCAUCUCUUUCUGCAAAGGCAUCUAAAUGUGUCUCACCUCCCUGUGAGGAGGUGGAGAGACAGCCCACCCCUGUGUCCACCGUGACCCCUGUUGCCAUGCUGACAUGUGUUUUCUCCCCAGUCAUCUUUCCUGUUCCAGAGAGAUGGAGCUGGAUGUCUCCAUCUCUGUCUCAACUUCAUGUGCACUGAGCUGCAACUUCUUACUUCCCUACUGAAUAUAUGAAUCUGAUUAUAAAUUUGUUUUCUCAAAUAUUUGCUAUGACAGGUUGAUGGGUUUAUUAAAUAAGUCAAUUCCUAGAAUUUGAGAGAGUAAAUAAAGACCUGAGAACCUUCCAAAA